AGAUCCGGGAUGGUCAAAAUAAAUAUGGAUAAAGUUCGAUAGAAUUUAAAAUUUUGGUUUGUUUACAUUUUUAUAUGCCAAAAUGGGAUUUCUCGCUAUUGCCAACUACUUUUUUUGGUAAAAACCAAACUAUUGUGAAUGAAAAAAGCUAUGAACUGGCAAAGCCUCUAGUUCAAUAUACAAGCUAUGAUAGCUUAUGACAAGUCAACAUAAUUAUGUUGGUUAAGUCUUCCAUACAAAAUAAACUAAUAGCUUAAUUUGCUGGUCAAAUAAAACGCGCCUAAUGUUUCCAUAACAACAUGCUCAUGACCAUAACCAUAGCUAUCAAUUGAAUUUUGAUUUUCGGCUGUAACCAUAAAAAGCUGUUUGUUGAUUUUUUGACUUUUCAUUUGAAAUUUCGUUUGCAUUUUGUUUUGUUCGCCUCAUAAAAAAGGCGCUCUUGGAAGGAAGUCGCCGAUAAUUUGGAAGUUGAUGAAAGUGUUGUUAUUAAGCGUUGGGGCAACUUGAAAGAACGCUUCUCAAAAGAAAUUAGAAUCUCCCGAAAUGCUUCAGGAAGUGGUUCAUUCGUAGGAAGGCAGUGGACGCUAUUUGAAAGUUUGCAAUUUUUAAGAAGCCACAUUAUUCCUCGUCCAAUGUGACAAAGUGCGCCAAUAUUGAAACGUAGCGAUGGAAACUAUGAGUUUAUAAACAUUUCGUCCGAUUCUAUAUCACAAGAUAUUUUAUAACAUAUUACUUUUUGUUCUUUUAAUCAGAACAGUUGAAUUUUUGAACCUUAAGUACAAAGGAUAUAAUCCAUAUAACGUUCUAUAUAAUAAUUAUUUGUGUUUAUUUAAUUAAUUUUUUGUUGUUGUUAUUGUUAAUAAAUAUGUAUGAAAUACACGUAAAUUUACAUUUUCAACAUUUUUUAUUGAAUUUAAUAUGUAUGUUUAUAAGUGUUUUACUCUAUAUGGUUUUGAAAAGGUACUGGCCCAUUGUUCAAAAAAUAAUUUGUGAGGUAUUUUCUGUGGUUAUACGCACUGUUUCGACCCCAGCGUCUAAAAGUAUGUACUGACCGCAAUGGCCCUCCACAAGAUCUUAAUUCGUUUCUCUAUUCAGCAUUUCUUCCUUCUCCGUUAGUGUAAUGCUCUGAGCAGUACCAUCGAUUCAUAUCGUGGAGCAUUAUGAAAUUGUGAAGCAUUACGAUUUUUUCAGCAUUUUCAUGAUGAAACUCCAUUGUUGUUUUUAGCACUCUCCACCUCGCUGUCAAAAUCCCAAACGCAUUUUCAAUGCCCGUGAUAGUCUAUAAUUAAAAAUUCGUUAGUGCUCUAAUUGUAUUUACAUCUGGAUACGGCUCCAUAAGAUUAUUUUUUAAUGGAAAGGCACAGUCUCCAACAAAGUAAAACGGUUGGGAAUAUAACGAUAGUGGGGUAUCAGGUGGUAGUGGCAAACGAUUUUCCAACAGAUCUUCGCCAAAUCUCGUUGCAUGAAAAAUACCUCAAUCAGUCUGGCUUUCGUAAGCUCCUACGUUAAUGGCUGUAAAAGUGUAUUUAGCAUCACAUGCUGCCAACAGAACAAUGCAACAAACUUUUUAUAAUUAUAAUACAUGGAUCCUGAAUUUGGAGGGCAUUUUAUCGCAAUAUGUUUUCCGUCGAUCGUACCUACACAGUUUGGCAUGUUCCACAUUUGCGCAAAGUCGGUCGUGAUGUCUAUAUACUGUUGUUGCGUGGGUUCACUCAGAUAAAUUGGUGAAAGCAUUUCCCAAAUAGCUUCACAUGUCUCCAGCACCAUGUUCCUCACAGUGGUCUUUCCGAUUUUGUAGCUCCAUGGUAAUUUUUUGAAAGGAAUUCCAUAUGCUAAGAACCUAACAACCACCUUAAUAAAUAUAACAAAUGGAGUAAUAUUCACAAAAACUUAAAGAAGUGUGAGGGACAAACGCUC